rnacentral:rRNA from 1 species
AACCUUUAGCCAAACAAAUAUUAAAGGCAACGCCUGCCCAGUGAACAAUUAAACGGCCGCGGUACCCUAACCGUGCAAAGGUAGCAUAAUCAUUUGUCUACUAAUUAUAGACCUGUAUGAAAGGCAAAAUGAGGGUUUAACUGUCUCUUAUAACUAAUCAAUUAAACUGAUCUCCUAGUAAAAAAGCUAGAAUGCCACCAUAAGACCAGAAGACCCUGUGAAGCUUAAAUUAAACCAUUAAACCCAAUAAUGACUACUUUCGGUUGGGGCGACCUUGGAAAAAAAAAGAACUUCCAAAAUAGUGAAUUACAACACUAAAACAUAGGCCUACAAGCCACUUACGACCCAGUACCACUGAUAAACGAACUAAGUUACUCCAGGGAUAACAGCGCAAUCUUCUUCAAGAGCCCAUAUCAAAAAGAAGGUUUACGACCUCGAUGUUGGAUCAGGACAUCCUAAUGGUGUAGCCGCUAUUAAGGGUUCGUUUGUUCAACGAUCAAUAGUCCU